rnacentral:rRNA from 1 species
GACGAACGCUGGCGGCGUGCUUAACACAUGCAAGUCGAGCGGAGCGGCGGACGGGUGCGUAACGCGUGAGUAACUGCCCCCCUCCCUGUGAUAACAGUUGGAAACGGCUGCUAAUACCGGAUAGUGGGGGAUGACUCGCGUCCUAUCAGCUUGUUGGUGGGGUAGUGGCCUACGAAGGCGCCGACGUGUAGCCGGCCUGAGAGGGCGACCGGCCACAUUGGGCUGAGAUACGGACCAAACUCCUACGGGGGGGAGCAGUGGGGAAUAUUGCACAAUGGUGGAAACGCUGAUGCAGCAACGCCGCGUGCUUGAUGACGGCAUGCGGGUUGUAAACCGCUUUCAGCCAUGACGCGGUAGUGGCAGAAGAAGCACCGGCUAACUACGUGCCAGCCUCCGCGGUAAUUC